rnacentral:rRNA from 1 species
GUAGUCUCGCACAGAUGCAUAUCAAUAAGCGGAGGAAAAGAAACUAACAGGGAUUCCCUUAGUAACGGCGAGUGAAGCGGGAAGAGCUCAAAUUUGAAAUCUUCAAGGUUUUACCUUGACGAAUUGUAGUUUAAAGAAGUGUUUUCUGUUGAAGUUUUGGUAAAAGUUCUUUGGAAUAGGACAUCAUAGAGGGUGAGAAUCCCGUAUUUGACCAUUAUUUUCAGCUGUGUGAUACACUUUCAAAGAGUCGGAUUGUUUGGGAAUGCAGUCCAAAAUGGGUGGUAAAUUUCAUCUAAAGCUAAAUAUUGGCGAGAGACCGAUAGCGAACAAGUACCGUGAGGGAAAGAUGAAAAGAACUUUGAAAAGAGAGUUAAACAGUACGUGAAAUUGUCAAAAGGGAAGCGUUUGACACUAGUGUUGUUUUCUCGAAAAUCAAUUAAAAAGAGUUUGAUUUUGUUGUGUAUUGACCUUAACAGCUUGCAUUUCAAUUUUCUUGCUUUUUUUAAUGCACUUUUCGUUUAACAAGUCAACAUCAGUUUCUUUUGUUGUAAAAAGGUCAUUGGAAGGUGGCUUUCUUUUCGGAGAAAGUGUUUAUAGCCUUUGACUCCUGCAAUCGGAGAGACUGAGGUCUGCAGCGUAGAUCCUUCGGGGUUAGAUACAUUUGUGCUAAGUUAUAGCUUUUUAUAGACAACUUGUUGACUAUGAUUAGUCUUGUAGCUUACUCGCUUAUGCUAUUUUACCUACGCUUAGGAUGUUGAGCGCAUGUCUCUCUCU